CCUACGGGUGGCAGCAGUGAGGAAUAUUGGUCAAUGGCCGCAGGGCUGAACCAGCCAAGUCGCGUGAGGGAUGACGGUCCUAUGGAUUGUAAACCUCUUUUGUCAGGGAGCAAAGGGCGCCACGUGUGGCGCUUUGCGAGUACCUGAAGAAAAAGCAUCGGCUAACUCCGUGCCAUCAGCGGCGGUAAUACGGAGGAUGCGAGCGUUAUCCGGAUUUAUUGGGUUUAAAGGGUUCGCGGGCGGAAUGUAAAGUCAGCGGGAAAAUUUCGGGGCUCAACCCCGUCGUGCCGUUGAAACUGGCGUUCUUGAGUGAGCGAGAAGUAUGCGGAAUGCGUGGUGUAGCGGUGAAAUGCGUAGAUAUCACGAAGAACACCAGUUGCGAAGGCAGCAUGCCGGAGCUCAACUGACGCUGAUGCGCGAAAGCGUGGGUAUCGAACAGGAUUAGAUACCCUAGUAGUC
rnacentral:rRNA from 1 species